rnacentral:rRNA from 1 species
UACAGAGGUCCCAAGCGUUGUUCGGAUUCACUGGGCGUAAAGGGUGCGUAGGCGGCGCGGUAAGUCGGGUGUGAAAUCUCGGGGCUUAACUCCGAAACUGCAUUCGAUACUGCCGUGCUUAAGGACUGGAGAGGAGACUGGAAUUUACGGUGUAGCGGUGAAAUGCGUAGAUAUCGUAAGGAAGACCAGUGGCGAAGGCGGGUCUCUGGACAGUUCCUGACGCUGAGGCACGAAGGCCAGGGGAGCAAACGGG